AAGAAACAUACUGUCUGCCAGUGUUACCAGCUACUUACUGAUAAUAUCUUUUCUUCCUCUGUGGCUGGAAAGAAGGGUAAAUUACCUUGCUGUGGGCGACAACCCCCCACCUUUGCAGUCCUGACUUACUUAGCACUGACUCCUACUAGCACCAUCUACUAAUGAGUUUGUAACUCGCCUUUGUCCGAGCUGGUCAGAAAAUGUGCAUUUCCAUUAUGAUCACAUAUGGCAUUUAAAAUAGUUUCUUUUUAUCUCCAAUAAUUUAUAGAUGCAAAAUCCUAGAGUGUUUAUAAAUUUAAUAAAAUCCCUAACUUCCUUUUUAAGCAUUUGCUUUUUUUUUUCCUUUGGAAGGAAAAAAAAAAGACUCCUCCUUUUCAUGUCUUGGGUUGAAUCCUUUUUCACGCUUCUCCUUUUCAUGUCUUUCAGGGAAUCCUUGUGCUACAUGCAUUGCCAGCAUCAGUAUAUCCAGAGGUUACCAUCUGCAUCGAGAGCACAUCCUUGCUCACAGAGAGAGGGGACCUGGAGAGGGGAGAUGCUAAGCAAUGGAAGAGCAGUCACCAGCCUCGUACUUGUCCCUACCUGA
rnacentral:lncRNA from 1 species